rnacentral:lncRNA from 1 species
UUUAUGAUUUUAUUUAUUAAUCAUGAUUUAAACUUUAGCUCAUCACUUUAUAAGAGUUUAACCUCUUUCACUAUAGUCUCACUAUACUCUAUUAUAUUUGUUUUGAAUAUCAACACCUACAUGACAUAAUAUAAUCCCUCCCUCCAUCAAUAUAUAUAAAUAUUAGUCCAUAUCGCUUUCUCUCAUAUACCAUUUUGAUUUCAUUACCUUACUUACCAUAUGAAUCAUGGACUAUCACUAUGACACUGCCUCCUCCUCAUCUCACUCCAACCACUACCUCCAACUUUCAGGGUCAACAUCCCUCACCUCACAACGCAGCCUCCUCUCAGUUCCUUC